rnacentral:lncRNA from 1 species
CUCCACAUGUUCUGACUGUUGAAGAGACCCUUGACACACAGUAGAGGGGUAGUAAGUUCAUAUGUCAACUGAGGGUCCCAUGAGGCAUGGCUCUGUUUAUAGCUAAAGCAGGAAGUCUAUCAGUACAUAUUCAGGGAGAAAGAGUAUCAUAUUGGAGAGCCACAUGUGCGCACAGGGGAGAAAUGAUUGGAAUCAAAUAAUGUUACUCUGGAAGAAAUCCUUGGGCAAACCUGACCCAUGAGAAAAUGGAUACCUGGUGUUACCCAGGUGAUGCCAAAGCCCAGGAUAGUGUUGGCACAGCCACUGAAUUCUUUUUCUCCAUCAUGUAUCAAGACCUAUUUAAUAUUGCUAACCUAAGCUUGGUUUCCCCUAUUUCCCAUAUAGAACUUAAUAACAUCAAGCCAUGGAAUAAAUAAGAGAAAUUCA